rnacentral:misc_RNA from 1 species
GAUGAAGAACGUAGCGAAAUGCGAUAAAUAAUGUGAAUUGCAGAAUUCAGUGAAUCAUCGAGUCUUUGAACGCACAUUGCGCCCCCUGGUAUUCCGGGGGGCAUGCCUGUCCGAGCGUCAUUGCUGCCCUCAAGCACGGCUUGUGUGUUGGGCCCCCGUCCCCCCCUCCCGGGGGACGGGCCCGAAAGGCAGCGGCGGCACCGCGUCCGGUCCUCGAGCGUAUGGGGCGUUGUCACCCGCUCUGUAGGCCCGGCCGGCGCCUGCCGACCACCAUCAAUCUUUUUUCAGGUUGACCUCGGAUCAGGUAGGGAUACCCGCUGAACUUAAGCAUAUCAAUAGCGGAGGA